rnacentral:rRNA from 1 species
AACGAACGCUGGCAGCAUGCCUAACACAUGCAAGUCGAACGAGACCUUCGGGUCUAGUGGCGCACGGGUGCGUAACGCGUGGGAAUCUGCCCUUAGGUUCGGAAUAACUUCGGGAAACUGAAGCUAAUACCGGAUGAUGACGUAAGUCCAAAGAUUUAUCGCCUAAGGAUGAGCCCCGCGUUGGAUUAGCUAGUUGGUGAGGUAAAGGCUCACCAAGGCGACGAUCCAUAGCUGGUCUGAGAGGAUGAUCAGCCACACUGGGACUGAGACACGGCCCAGACUCCUACGGGAGGCAGCAGUGGGGAAUAUUGGACAAUGGGCGAAAGCCUGAUCCAGCAAUGCCGCGUGAGUGAUGAAGGCCUUAGGGUUGUAAAGCUCUUUUACCCGGGAUGAUAAUGACAGUACCGGGAGAAUAAGCUCCGGCUAACUCCGUGCCAGCAGCCGCGGUAAU